UUAUCAAAUUCUAAACACAGAAUUCCAGAAAUUCUGUGUAAAGUGACUGACCCGAGUUGGUUUUCCAGUUUUGACUUGGCUACUUUGAAUGGUCAAAACUCUUUGUUCCGAAGUCAGAAUUAUUCCGUUCCGGAUUCUAUGUAAAGUUUAUUAAGUGUACUAUAACAUACAAAAGCCCAGAAUUUUCUAAACAAUCUAGCUAAUCCUGAAUUUUCAUUUUUGG
rnacentral:lncRNA from 1 species